UGAGGGAAGCGGACGUUGGAACCGCUCUGGCGGCCGACUCUUGAGUAGUAGGCCUCGACUGGAAGGCGGGAGAGCGCGUGUGAGGCGUGGGUAUUUUGUUAUCCCUGUGUGGUUCUUUAAAGAGAGAACGAACGGACUGCGCGGCAAAACCCGUACUGUGAUAGGUUUCUUUUAGAAGAGAGGAUAAGGCGAUCAAGUGUAGGUUUUCCCGAUUGUUUAUGUGGAGGUCGUCUGACAGUCACUCGCUUCGUUUAUAAAACCGUCGAGGGUGGUUUUUACAGCAGGUGUAUUUUGCUCUGUGUGUCGACAAUUAUCAAGAUGAGCAAAAAGUACUCGGAAAGGAUCGAUUAAGAUGUUUAAAAAACAUACUUUGCAUGCCUUUUGGUGAUCAAGACAAGCCCUAGGCACUUCAUUUCACCGCGAACACUGCAAGAAAACUCUUGAAGAUAAGUACUCUAGAACAGCAUGGCCUGCCCCCCUGUGUGUGCGUGUGCAAUCCCUGAGCUGCCCUGUUGUGACCCAGGCUCAAAGUGGUACAUGGGAGAAAAAAGAACCGUGAAGUUUGCUAUCCUAAGAAUUUGUUGGAUGGAAGCGUGCAAGUCACAGAUCAGAGAAAGUAUAUAAUUUAAUAAUGGCUCACACAAGGAUCAUGUGUAUGUUGUUCAUUCUUUUCUUGUUAUCACAUCCAUAGCAUGAUAUCAGGCUUUUAAGAUUUUUACAGUGCUCCUCUUAAGAUAAAAUCUAAUACAGCAGUAGGCAACCUGAUGCCUGCCCUCCAGGUGCUUAGAGUUCAGUUUCCAUUUCCUCCAACCAGUCAUUUCUCUGAUUAAUGAAAUACCAAUGCAUUACAAAAAUGUAAAUUGAACUAUGAUUCCAGAUGUACAUGCACCACUGAUCCCUUUCCCUUUUUGUUUGAUAAAGAAAAGAUGAUCAAAAUUAAUUCAAGAUAAAUUAAUAAUUUCGAUAAUGAAGUACCGCAUGACCCAUUAUCAAAUAAAAAUAAAGGGAUUAUUUUUUCAACAAAGUUAAAAUAUCUCUAAAAUAUACAGCUAUUCCAAUUUACUGGAACUAUUAAAUUAUCAAAUACUGGAAUAUUUAAUUUUUAAUUUUUUUUAAAUUUGCAUUUAUAUCCCGCCCUUCUCCGAAGACUCAGGGCGGCUUACACUAUGUUAGCAAUAGUCUUCAUCCUAUUUGUAUAUUUAUAUACAAAGUCAACCUAUUGCCCCCAACAAUCUGGGUCCUCAUUUUACCUACCUUAUAAAGGAUGGAAGGCUGAGUCAACCUUGGGCUUGGUGGGACUAGAACCUGCAGUAAUUGCAAGCAGCUGUGUUAAUAACAGACUGUUUUAGCAGUCUGAGCCACAGACUUCAAUGAAGACUUAACAUUUCAAGUCAUCGAAGUGUAAUAAAUAUAUUACAUAAAUGAAUAAAUAUAAUACAAAUAUCAAUUAUUGUAAUUUAAUCUUGUAAGAUGACAGCUGUUUUCAAAUUCUUUCCGAAAUUCUGUAGAUAAAACAAAACUACACUUGAUAAAUAGAAAUGGUGAUUGAACAGAAUUUAACCACUUCCUCAAAGACAUUACUGAAAUUUCUUAAAGACGGGUAGUGGAAGAUAAGAUGGGCAGCUGCUCUGCUAUGAUUGGUUAUUAAGUUUUUAUGCAAAUUUGAAUAAAAGGAGCAAUUAAGAAAGUUGUGUGUUACUUUCCUGCAAAGGAUAUGGAGUUAGGUGAUGUGCUAUUGAAUCUCCCUCAUCAAAGAGUUGAAAGUAAGACCCUGAAUCUCACUGUAAAGAUUUUUGUGUGUGCCGGUUUUAAAACAAUAAGGCAUUUAAUCACAGAAAACAGUCUUCCUAGUAUGUCUGAGUUACAGGAUUUUUUGUAAUAAAACUUUAUAACCUUUUGUAAGUGGAUCAAAACAAUUUUUUUUAAUCUGGAUUUUUUUCAUAGCUAACUGAAACCAGAUAUUUCAUGAAAAGUCUGAAGCUUUAAAUUAAACUUAGGCAAGAGGAAACCAAGUUACUUUGCUGGGUCAUAGCAGCAGCAAGACAUUCAGUGAAAAUGAAUUUGAACCAUUAUUGCAGACAGCAUAGUUAUAAUUGCACCCUAAUAAGGUUUGGCUUAAUUCAACUCUUCAUAAAACUCUGGGCACACAAAAUAUAGGCCAUCGAAAGUUGACUGAAUCCACACUGAGAUAAUUGCCGAAGGAUGCACCAUGGAGCAAAUAGCUUACUAUCUUUAGUCAGAAGAUUUUGGUAGUGGCCACUAUUGCAGGUAGAAAAUCAAAGUAAGGCAUUUUUCACAAAUUGACUUGCAUGGGUGCAGCUUUAAUGUUUUUGGCCAAGGAUGUUGAAACUUGAACGGGCAGUGUUUGAUUCAAUCUUGAGAGAAAUUGGGACAAAUGGCUGUCUCAUCUAUUGAUUGAUAUUCCAAUCCCUGCCCUUCUACAAAUGAGUAAGGAAGACUGUUACAGUAUUUUCAUAAAACUGACUGUAAAAGUACGCUGAGGAAAAAAUUUGAAAAGUUCCCCAUGAACUAUUUUCUUUGCAAGUGUAGUUGGAGAACCUGCUCCUAAUUAGUUGAGUAAAAUCCAUAAGCAUAUUUUGGUUUCUUUAUGGAAACCAAACUAUGUUUAUGGCACUUUGCAGAAUCUUGUGGUCACAUGAUUGUGUUUUACAACAGUUUUGCUGAAAACUGACAUUUACUUUGUUUUCAUCAAAACCAGCCCAUAGAAAACCAUUGGUUGACUUAGCAACUGCAACAUUUUCUUAAUGACAGCUGCAAAAAAGAUAAGAUCAGGUUGGUCAUGUGGGUAACCAAUUUAUGACGGCUGUUAGCGUAGUGGAUGCUAGCCUUGUUUAUAACUUGUGGAAUUUUGAAUUUAUAGUAGGCAAUGCCUCCAUUAUAACAAAUGACAAGGCAUUAUAAUGACUGAUACCUUCAAAAAUGACAACUUCUUGAGUAACAAUAAUUAAAUUAUUUAAUUAUUUAAAUUUAUUUAAUAAUUAGCCUAAAACUAUACAUCUCAAGAUUUGAUAUCAAUAUAAAUGACAGAAUAAUGAAAUAAUUAGCUAUAAAUUAGUCUUGUUCAUUCAUAUUGACAUAAUGGCCUCAUGUUAAUUAGAAACCAUACCAUUCAUAUUGUUAUAAAACUGAACACGCUUUUUAUUGAUCAGUUGUACUCUAUAAUUUGCACAUUCAUUUCCAAGACUGAUUUCAGACAGUUUUAUAAAUAUAUGAAUUAGCGCGUAAUUAUGUGAACUCAAGGAAGGCAAUGUCAUUUGGUACUGGCAACUUAUUUUGAUCAGUUUUUAAAUAAUGGCUUAACUGUGUUGUAGAUUUAUUGUAGAAUUUAUAGGAUGGAUCGAGAUUGAUAUAAGGCUGUGAUUGUAUACUGAGGACAUCUGAAAUUGGCUGCUAUGGGACAGCAUCAGACUUACAUAUGAAGGGCAUGUACUUAAUUUUCGGUUAUACUCCAUACUAAUAUGGUGAGUCUGAUAUUUCUUGGUACAGGUAUCACCUAUACACAAACAAGGUGAUCAUACCUAAUACUCCUCCCUAUUUAUUUAUUUAUUUAAUUUAUUUAUUUAUUUUGUCACACAGUAUAUAUGUGUAAGCAUGAAAUAACUAUACAAUAUAUAAAUAUAUAUAUAAGUAUGAGUAUAUAAUAACUAAAUUAAUUGGAUAUAACGAAAGGAAACAAUAGGACAGGAACGAUAGGCACUCUUGUGCUCUUAUGCACACCCUUUAUAGACUUCUUGGGAAUGGGGUGAGGUCAAUAGUAGACAGUUUUUGGUUGAAGAUUUGGGGAUUUUGGGAACAGACCAGAGUGUCAGGUAGUGUAUUCCAGGCAUUAACAACUCUGUUACUGAAGUCAUAUUUUCUGCAGUCAAGAUUGGAGCGGUUAACAUUAAGCUUAAAUCUAUUGUGUGCUUGUGUAUUGUUGCAAUUGAAGCUGAAGUUUUCCUCCCGUUUUCUCCACAACAACCACCCCCUGAGAAGAGUUGGACUGAAAGUGAGUGGUCCAAAGUGACCCAGGCUUUCAUGCCUGUGGUGGGAGAGUCUCCAGAUUUCUAGUCUAGUGUCUUAACCAGUUAUAAUUAUUGUGGAAACAGAACACAAACAAUUUAAACAUAUUACUUAUACAAAGUCUGCAUUAUUCUUUAAGGCCAUUGUCCUCCCACAGCUCAUUAGGCAUUAAUAUUUGGAAUUUGUACUUAAGAUAUAUUCCUUGCAGUUUGAGAAUUUAUUUUUUCAGUUUUCAAAUAACAUUAAAAAACCCUUACUAAUCAUAGAUUUGAUUAAUCCAUAAGAAAAACUGACUUAAACAUCCCUCAAAAUUGCAUAGCAUUUUUCUAGUCUAUUAUAUUUAAUUGGAGUUUUAUCUGCCAUUGGAAUACAUUUUACAAUUCUUUGCCAUUGUAAAUAUUUUAUUUCUUUUUUAACAGCACUGUUUGAAUAAUAAAUUAUUUCUACCACUAACCAUUACUAGUGGAGCUAUUGUAACAAUAUCUCAUUUGUAAAUUUGUUCAUCAUUUGCUUUAGAUAGCAAUUGUGCUGCACUUUACCUUCUCUACAUUGGAUAAAAAAACCUUAACUAUGCUAGCAGAAUGGUACUUUUUACUCACUUUCUUUUAGUUGACCUCUGACCUUUGUCUGACCUCAAAAUCCACUUUGGAACAUAGAAUUUUUUUAAGUUCCAAAGGCUUUUCAAAAUGCAGCUGGGCCUAUGGAUAAGGAAAGUGAAUCCACCUGCUUCCAUUCCAUUAGCAGAAAUUGCUUCUAUUGACAGACGUAUAGUGUAGUCUUGUCUACCCAUACUCUCUCACAUACACACAAUUAUCAGUUAAACUGUCAGGGACCACAUGUAGUUCUUUUGAGUAUCUAUACAUAUACAAAUAUUUAUCUUACUACAUACCAGGCUCCUUGCCUCAUUUUUUUUUUUUUUUUUAAUUUAAAAUACUGAAAUCAUUUUGUGAAGGAGUAAGCCAUGGUAGUCUUUCUUCCAUUAUUGUCACAUAAAACAAUCAUGACAUAUUAUGAAUGUAUAAUCCCAAUGUAACUAAUGUAAAAGGA